rnacentral:rRNA from 1 species
AGAGUAUGAUCAUGGCUCAGAGCGAACGCUGGCGGCGUACUUAACACAUGCAAGUCGAACGGGGAUCUUCGGUGUAGCAAUACAUCGGCGGUCCUAGUGGCGCACGGGUGAGUAACACGUGGGUAACCUGUCCUGGAGUCCGGGAUACCCUUUCGAAAGGAAGGCUAAUACCGGGUACGUUCCCUGGGUUGCUAAAUCUAGGGAGGAAAGGUGGCGAAAGCUACCGCUCUUGGAGGGGCUCGCGGCCUAUCAGCUAGUUGGUGAGGUAACGGCUCACCAAGGCUAUGACGGGUAGCUGGUCUGAGAGGACGACCAGCCACACGGGAACUGAGACACGGUCCCGACUCCUACGGGAGGCAGCAGUGGGGAAUUUUCCGCAAUGGGCGAAAGCCUGACGGAGUGACGCCGCGUGGGGGACGAAGGCCUUCGGGUUGUAAACCCCUGUCAGAGGGAAAGAAGGGUCGCCUGGCUAAUAUCCAGGUGAUCUGACGGUACCUUCAGAGGAAGCCCCGGCCAACUCUGUGCCAGCAGCCGCGGUAAGACAGAGGGGGCAAGCGUUGCUCGGAAUCACUGGGCGUAAAGGGCGCGUAGGCGGGAUGGCAAGUCAGUCGUGAAAUCUCUCGGCUCAACCGAGAAACGUCGGCUGAUACUGCCGUUCUUGAGGGAUGCAGAGGAGACUGGAAUUCCCGGUGUAGCGGUGAAAUGUGUAGAGAUCGGGAGGAACACCGGUGGCGAAGGCGGGUCUCUGGGCAUUUCCUGACGCUGAGGCGCGAAAGCGUGGGGAGCAAACGGGAUUAGAUACCCCGGUAGUCCACGCUGUAAACGAUGACGACUAGGUGUGGGGUGGUUCAGUCCAUUCCGUGCCGCAGCUAACGCAUUAAGUCGUCCGCCUGGGGAGUACGGCCGCAAGGUUGAAACUCAAAGGAAUUGACGGGGGCCCGCACAGCGGUGGAGCAUGUGG